GCUCCGAGCGCCGCCCACCGGGCCCUGAGGACCCUGGGAUGACCGCCUACCCGUCUGCAGAGACCAGGCCAGUGUGGGAGACAGACUUUAAUCCGAUAGUCCCGAAGCAAUGUACGGUGGCACACAGACUGCGUGGCAGGUUGUCCUGAGCCCUGGAGCCACAGAGAUGAGGACCAAUCUGGUGUUCACUGGGCAGCCCUUGGGUGAUUUGAUGAGUUAGGAUACCCUGCCCACCUGCCUUUUCAAGUUCAGGGCUUUCCUAGGGGACCAGAAGGCAAGGUACCCCCUCCUCUGCUUCCAUCACACGUCUGACUGCUUGAUGGAUGGAACCACCACGUCCACACACUGUGCAGGCGAAGCCAGUCCCAGAUGCAGGCCUCUGUGAUGAAACUGCGCACAAGAUCCCACCUGUCGCUUGCCCUGGUGAGUACCAUUAAGUAUGAAGAGACUGGGGAGUACCUCUAUCUGUGGGGGACUGGUGCCUGUCACUACUCCUGGGGAAGAGGCACAGAUUACCAAACUAGGCGCCAGUAAGACUGGAGCACUUCAGAACCAGACAACUGGAAUGGGCCUAUCAAACCAAAAAUGAACCCUGUGUUGUACCAGAAGGCGUGCUUUUCCUCAGAAGGCCGAUCUGACAGGGACCAGGACACAGACCCCAUCAGCACUGGUAAUGGUAGUAUUACUGAUAAAAAUACGUAUGAUUCAGAGAUUAAUGUGGUAUAAGGUAUAACCAAACAUAACUUGUCUCCUGGUAAAUGCAAAGCCUCUUGGGACUUAAACAUUAUUCUAAUAUUCUGAAGCAAUCUCCUUUCCCAGCAACCCCCUCAUAUGUAUAAUGUGAAAUAGGCCAAAUUUCAGAGCAUACUAACUAGGUAAGACACAUUACAAUGAAACAUUUGCCCAACAAGAAUGACGAACAUUAGAGUUUGUUUUAUUGCAUGACGUUUGCAUAAGAAAAAAUACUGAAAAUUUUAAGGCAUCAUGCAAUCAGUAAGCUAAUUAUUAACUGUUCACUUAAGAUAGGUGGACAUAUAAUCUAAAAUUUAAAAACUAGUUCCAAAAAAGUACAUAAAAAAUUUAACAUCAUGAGCUUUUAAAUAUGGUUUAUAUUUGUAGUUUCAUGUU